GCCCCAUACUUUAAAAUAAAAGUCCUGACUUGCAUUCAGAUAAUGGAAUCGAUUCGCUAUUCCUGAGGCCAU
rnacentral:tRNA from 1 species